GAUGAACGCUGGCGGCGUGCCUAGUACAUGCAAGUCGAGCGAACAGAUGAGGAGCUUGCUCCUCUGACGUUAGCGGCGGACGGGUGAGUAACACGUGGAUAACCUACCUAUAAGACUGGGAUAACUUCGGGAAACCGGAGCUAAUACCGGAUAAUAUAUUGAACCGCAUGGUUCAAUAGUGAAAGACGGUUUUGCUGUCACUUAUAGAUGGAUCCGCGCCGCAUUAGCUAGUUGGUAAGGUAACGGCUUACCAAGGCAACGAUGCGUAGCCGACCUGAGAGGGUGAUCGGCCACACGGGAACUGAGACACGGUCCAGACUCCUACGGGAGGCAGCAGUAGGGAAUCUGCCGCAAUGGGCGAAAGCCUGACGGAGCAACGCCGCGUGAGUGAUGAAGGUCUUCGGAUCGUAAAACUCUGUUAUUAGGGAAGAACAAAUGUGUAAGUAACUAUGCACGUCUUGACGGUACCUAAUCAGAAAGCCACGGCUAACUACGUG
rnacentral:rRNA from 1 species